UACAGGGGGUGCAAGCGUUUGUUCGGAAUUACUGGGCGUAAAGCGCGUGUAGGCGGCGUCGUUAGUCGGAUGUGAAAGCCCUCGGCUCAACCGAGGAACUGCCUUUCAAACUGCAUGGCUUGAGUCCGGGAGAGGUGAGUGGAAUUCCCAGUGUAGCGGUGAAAUGCGUAGAUAUUGGGAGGAACACCAGUGGCGAAGGCGGCUCACUGGACCGGAACUGACGCUGAGGCGCGAAAGCGUGGGGAGCAAACGGG
rnacentral:rRNA from 1 species